GAGGUAUCUUUCACUAUCCACGACGCGAAGCAUCUCGUAUAAUGGCUUAAUAGCCUUCACUAUCUUCUCAGCCCACUGUCAGAAUGACUGACUCGUCAUCAAGUUUUUCACAUGACUUCCAUCAGUGCCGGCCCUCAUGUAUCUACUCUCUUGCCCCUUGGCACUGAUAAACAUCUGACGUAAGGCUGCUUUCGUCUGAAGAAGACUAUCAAGUGAUAUGUAGUUGGUAG
rnacentral:lncRNA from 1 species